UACGUAGGGUGCAGGCGUUAAUCGGAAUUACUGGGCGUAAAGCGUGCGCAGGCGGUUUGCUAAGACAGGUGUGAAAUCCCCGGGCUUAACCUGGGAACUGCGCUUGUUACUGGCAGGCUUGAGUGCGGCAGAGGGGGAUGGAAUUCCGCGUGUAGCAGUGAAAUGCGUAGAUAUGCGGAGGAACACCGAUGGCGAAGGCAACUCCCCUGGGCCUGCACUGACGCUCAUGCACGAAGCGUGGGAGCAACAGGAUAGAUACCCGGGGUAGUCCAA
rnacentral:rRNA from 1 species